UCACGUGUGGGAAACGGGGAGCUGGAGGAAAACAAAAGCCCAGCCAGCAGCCCGGAGGAGGAGGGAGAAGGGUGGGUCUCGGCGAGCUCCCUCCUUUCAACCUCUCUCUUUUUUUUUUUUUCCCUUUCACCCCCUUCCCUCCUCCUCCUCCUCCUCCUUUUCCCUUCCUGGAUGCGUGGGGGCGGGCGGGAGCCGGGGAAGGUGGAGUCUGCGCCCGUCGUACACGGCACAUGCCCCUCGGAGGCUGGCACCGGCAGCACCGGACCCGGGGGCUGCGGCUCGGCGCGGCCCGGCCCGGCCCGGCCCGGCCCGGCCCCCCGCGGCUGCUGGAGCGGCACCGGGCUGCAGCCGUGCCGCGGCAAAGGGGCCCGGGUGCUGCCCCGCCGGUUUUACCGGGAGGGGGCCAGUGCCCCGGGGCAGGCGCUGGCGCCCCGGCGGGCGGGGGGGGGGGGCAGCCCCCGGGGAUGCGCUUGGCUGCCGGCGGCGCGUCCCCCGGUGCGGCAAGGCUGGGCUGCCCCAGCUGCCCUGUGAGGCGUGCGUGUGUAAGUAACGUAUCGCGACUUCCCUGAACCAUCAGAGCAACCCCCUCCCCAACCCUUCCCUCUCCCCUGCACCAGAGAAAGUGCGGUUAUUUAGUUUGCCCUCUGGUAUGUAGCCCAAGCCCGAAAUCUGUCUGUUCCCUGUCUUUUCCGAAGGGAUGGCUGUGGUGCAGCUGGCUGCAGGUCUGCACGCUCCCUCCUUCUGCAGCUGCGGCUUGGGAGGGGGAGCAGCCAGUCCCACCUUAGCAUAAACCUCCUUCCUUUCUUCAUUACUUAAUUUUGAUCAACUCAACCGUGCUACAAGUGUUCUUGUCCUGUGAUGAUAAUUUCAUCAACGGCUUAUGUAAGGGUUGGGUAACACAUACAUACAAACAGCAGAACAUAUGGUUGUUGCAAGAUAGCAAUGUGCGCCUACUUCAUAAAGCAUUACAAUGACUUGUAUUAUAUUCCAGUUAUAGUUGGUAGAUGAUUUACAAGCCACCCCAAACUGUCACAAAUAUUGUAAUGUCCCCUACAAUUUUAUCAAAAGCUUGCUAAUUUGAUCUAAAAAAAAAAUUAGAUUGAUCAGAGGGGAACCUAAUCCUAUUGUUAGAGGGAGCUAUGGACCCAGGUUUGCAUUCCUCUCAAAAUUGACCUUUUGAGCAUUCAAUGACUUUAGAAUCAAGCUCUGUGACUUGGAUUGGUUUCUGAAAGUUUGGCCUUUACUGACACUGGGUGCCACAAAACCUGAACUUUAAGGGGCCAAGUCCCUGGGGUGUGCUCCUUAUGCGGUAAGGAUGCUGUAUGGGCAGCAUCCUGAGCAAGAAGCACUGAGCAAGGGAAUGAGAAGUGAUGGAGGAAAGGGAUGUUUCCCAGAUCCCACCUUCUUAGAAAGGUAAGUGCUAUUUUGAGAUGGGUGUUCUCAUUUCAGACUGCUCUCUUGAGGUUUACACUGAAGCUGUCUUUCCUAACAGAGGGCACUGGUGUGCCUGUCCCUCUGGCACAUCAGGGCUCAAUCAUUUGGACGGGAAGUGGAUCAGCCUGAGUGCUAGACUUGCCUCCCUGAAGAAGAGCCCAGCUGGCAUCUCCCACCUGCUAGGAGGAUGCUCUGCACCCCUGUGGUUGCAAAGUGUCCUUCAAACUUCUGUUUCGGAGAGGAAGACCAGGGAAUUGGAGACCUGCCACCUUCCUUUGAUGGGGCAGGCAAUGCCCAUUUUUGACUGGAGGCCCUGUCCGUGCAGUGGGAACCAGCGGGAUGUCUGGUGUUGGGGCACUGAUGCACUCUGCUCCCGUGGAGGAGCUCCGUGCUCCUUUUGAGACAGUACUGCUUUUAAAAGAAUUCAGGACUUUUUGGAGGAGGGGUCCUGGGCCACAGAGAGCUGUCACAGCCUGAUAGUCAGCACAUUCACUGGAUGCUGAUUUCUGGUCCAAGGACUACUACUAGAUGGUAGGUAGGUCAUGAAACUUGGGCCUCCAACAUUAUAGCCAAGUAAGGUAUACGCUGGGAUUUUUUUUUCCUCUUGCAUGUCUAAGGGAAAGCAGCCACAGUGAGUGUUUUUCUCCAGAGCUCAAAAGCUUGCUAUGGCAACUGAGUCCUGGAGUGUAUUUUCCAAAUCCAGCCGCUCACAAGGUAUAGUUCUGGGAAAGAGAACCACCACCAAAACACCAGGUGGGGUUCCAGAGGUAGGUCUAACUUGGGACAGUUUUUGUGAGUGCAGAAGUGUGCACUCCUUUCACAAAAUUACUCUUGUGAUAGGAUAAAUCACUCUCUGUUGUAAGCAUUAUUUUAAAUGGAGCCAUGACCUCUGCUCCUCUAGAGCUGUCCCAGAGGAAGGUGUUACCCGCCCCAUGUCCACAUGUGCAUACAGAUGCUUUUUGGCACGUGAUUUUUACAAUACUGUCUCUGAGUCCAGGAACGCUUACGUGAAUGGUUGAGCUUAUUGAACCUCCUUGCAUCAAAAUUGGAGGGGUCAGGAUAAACUGUAGGCCUUUGCUAGCCAGGCUCGUUCAGCUGAGCUCACUUUAUCACCCAGUGCAACCUUUGCAAAGUGCAUGUCUGUGCUCAGCAGCCUAACUACUUCAGUGGACUGAUGUCCGUGGUCUAACUUGCACAAGCCGCCUCUGGGGGUACUGUGUGUGCACAGACUGCCUUUUCCAAAAAUCAUGUUGAAGGUGGGUUAAAACAUCCCUUCUACAGCGCAUAAGAAUAAACCUGUUUGAGAAAGCCACAUACAAGAAGAAAAGCAUGACUUUUUCAGUCUGAAGUGAAGCUAUUUUUGAUAACGAGUGGGGUACCACAGUACAAAGAUAACUGGCAUGUUAGAAAUACGAGGCUCUCUAGACCUAUUUAUACAUUUAGUAGCAAAUUUAAAUGAAUGUGCACAACCUAAGGUGAAUGUUUUUUUCCAGUUACUUAUAUCUGUUUGAUCUGUGCUUAGCAGAACUAUAGAUGGUUACAUGUGCUAUAGUAGUCCUGUCUGCUGGAGGAUAUGUGGAAAUGUUAAACAAAUUGACUUUGCCGUUUGAAACUUUUUUCUUUGAUGGGGAACCAGUGGUUGACUAGAGGAAAUAGCAAAGUUGAAAGGAAAACCAAAAAGGCAUAUUCUGGAAGCUUGCUUCUGUGACUGUUUUUUCAAUCAUUUCUCUCUCCAGUUCUCUUCCAACCAACCAGCUCUACCUAAGUGCAAGCACAUGGGUAUUUUUCAGAGGUCACAGACUUAUGUAAGCGGUUGGAUGACAAGUGGUAAUAGGAGUGGUAGAGCAUGAUGGCUUUUUCACCCAGUGCACCAAGAGCUAGAAGAGAGACUCAUCAGUUGUGGGUGUUCAGAGACAACAUGGAAUUUGGGGGACCCAUUAACUCAGAGUCCCUUUUCAGAAGAGAAUUGUGCUUCAAAAGAGGAAAGCAGUUGUAGUAUUCGAGAAGGACUUGGAAUAUGAAUUUAAUAAUCCUUCUGCUUAGAAAGAGUGUCUGGCAGCAAAAAAGUAGAGGGAGUUUGAACACAUUUCACUGAGAGCCAUAGUUAAGACUGGAAAUUGGAUAAAGACAGUACAAAUUCUUUACAAAAGACUAAUACUGCAUCUGGAUAGUAAGGCCUGUUUUGGUGCCAGACCCUAACCUUCAGUCUGUUGUAAAUUUAGCCCGAUUCUCAGAAAUACUAAGUAUUUGUGCUUCCCAUUGGUCGUUUUUCAGGAGCCUGAGUGUUUUACUUGUUGAGGGCCACCUUUGCUAAUUGAAAUGUAAAAGCUUGACACUAACAUGAGCGUCACCUUUUUUGAAGAGCAGUGUUCCUUGGAUAGGUGUAGGUCCACACUUGCCUCUCUAUGAAGAACCUAAUGUUUGCUUGCAUUGUUCCAGGGUAGGUGCCAACAUUACCAAGUUAACGGAAAACCAAAUUCGUAUAUGGCAGUGGGAAAGUGGCAGAGAUUUGUGACCGCCUAAAAUCAUGGUUGGAGCAGUGUGUGUGACUGCGGGACAGGAUGUGCUGAAGCAGAUGCCCUCAGCAAAGAUGAAACAGUGUCUCUGCGUAUCAGUUGAGGUGCGGAUGGUCAGAGCACGCAACCUGCUGGUUGUUUUGGAUGUCAGAGUUGUGGCAUGCGUGGUGUUUGUGUGUGUGUUGAAAGGUUCCUGAGAUCUUCAGUAAGCUAGUGGUGUGCAUAUGGGUGGUAGAGCCAAUUUGAUAGUCGUUUGUCUGUCAGACAAAUUAGGGCAGUCUAGUUAAGUCAAAACUGGAAUCUGUAUCAUUACUCCAACUUACAGUACCUUUAGGUGAGGCUGGUGGCAACAGCCAUUUAUUAAGAAUACUUAACAUUUUCCAUUGCUAGACCCAUGCUAGAUCCAAUUCAGGCCAAACAUUUCUUGGAAAACUUUGGUCAAAAUGGUUAUGCCAGCUCCAAGGGCAAGACCAAGAAAAAUACAUCGCUUCACCCACAUUAGAAAUUCUUGUGACCUUUCCUUUGGCAUACCCCAGCAUCCCAGCACCAAGACAAGAAUUCAGGAGGUGGGCUUCUGUCUCUGAGGUGGGGCUGGGGAAGGAGGAGGGGGUGCCCUUCCUGUCAAAAUCCACCCACCUCUGUCCAAUUUUAAGCCUUUGAAUCAUAGCUUGCAUAUGCUAGCUAGGGACUUAGUCCUGCCUAGCAGCUAGAACUGCCAGUGAGGAUAUAUCUUCAUGGAGCAGACUUCAGCCUUCCGCCUUUGCUGAAUGGGCUGAGCACCUGCAGUCCCCCGACCUACAGGAGUGCUGGGAGGGAUGUUCCCAUCUGCUCUGGGGCAUGGUGGGGGCAGCUGCCGGACUGCAGUGCAGGGCGGGCAAGCGGAGUGCAGGAGGGAGCAGCCCGCUUGGAUGUGGAGAGGGAAGGAGCUGCAGGAGGAAAAGAUACCGUCCUUGGGUCUGACGCAUACACACGGGGGGAGCUGAGGGCUUACACAUCCAACAUGAAGUCCCCCUCACUAUUUUUUUGCAUGCUUGGAUUUUUCAAGUUCCUCAUUCAACUUAAGGUGGCUUUGAGGUUUUUGGUUGUUGCUGCUGUUGUUUGUUCACUCUGUAUGCUGUCAGACCCCUUAAAGACCCACACUAAACUGGGAGCUCUCUUUUACUGGGUGCUGCUAAAAUGCUCUCCCAUGCCUCAGUGAGCUUGCGGGAUAACUAGACAAAACAAGGAAGGUGGCCAUGUCGGAACUGCAACUGGAAUGUGGCCGUUGCUGGCUCCUACUGGAGUGAUUAAAUGGGAACAGGGCCACAUAACUCCUCCCUCCCUUGAAAAACAAAAACUGUGGGCACUUGUACAGAAAACAACCCCUGUCUCUGUUUGUCCUUGUCCUGCUGCAGUUUUCUUCUGUGAAAUCAGAAUUUUUUUUUUUUUUUUUGCAGUAUCGUAAGUUAACAUAGGCGUGAGGUUCAAAAUGGAGUAGUCUUUAUUGAAAUGAGGAAUGGCCAAAUGUCCUGUCUGCCUGGAAAUCUCCUUAAGCAGAGGUGUAAAUAAAAAGCCAUUUGUAAGUGCAGUAGAACAGAAUGACUGGUUGCUAAAAAGAGCUUUUUAAAGGUUUUCAUUAAGUGACAGCUGUGAUUUAUCCUGUUUUUUACCAUUUUGAGACAAUUUGGAAUCAAGUACAGAAUCACUGGACAUUAAGAUUUCAGAGGGAAGCCUGCAAGAACAUCCGUCUUCAUCACAGCAUCCAUUAAUUUUUAAUCGCCUAGGGAUAAUUUUAAAACAGGCUGCAGGUUUCUGAAACAUUCAUGUGAGCAAGUCCUUCAGUUUGCUGGCUGCUGAGGGUAGGAAAGUCCUCCAGUUCACAGGACAGUCAGACCAAGGGGCAGGGUGAGAGUGAAAAUGCUGUUGACACCUUCUCAGACAUGGUCGUCAAUGAGUAAAAACAUUAAAUAACUAGCGUUUGAAGUUCCCGGAGGGACAUGCUGGUGGAGUGUUUCACUUCAGACACUCUCUUACGAGUUCAGCUUGACUGGAAAUGUUUAAUAUCCAAGAAAAAGAAAAAAAGUUCAAAGGAUUUUUUUUUUUCUCCUCUUGAAAAUAUUAAAUUCAGGGAGUGUGAUUCCAAGGGGAAUGAAGGAGGCAAAUGGAAAACUUUUUGGCGGCAGGAGCUGGGGUUUUGCGUUCAGCUCAAUGGCUUUUUUCGGUCUGUGUGCAACAUGAUAUCCUGUGAGCGCCAGGCUUGGUUCACUCUGAAAUUUCAGGGAAAGUUUCAGAACCCUUUUAACUUUGGCAGAUCCUCAGCGGGUAGUGCUCAUCACAGGCUGGUGUGGAAAGCAGAAGAGAAAUAAAACCUGCGCCUGCACCCUUGAGUCCUGCCACCUUGGGCCAUCUGCACCAGGGUCCAGGAGGUCUGCAGCCACUUCUCCUUGCCCCCAGGAUGGGGCACGAGUCCUGCCUGGAUCCUCCGAGCAACACUCCCAGGAAAGUUUUCUAAGCAGCAAAUGGAAAUGACAUAAACGGAAAGGCGAUCCCCUGGCAAGACGGAUCCAAAGCCUUCUGCUGUCUCUGCUCAAAUUGGAUAGCACCUCAGUGUAAUAAUCUUCAUAUUGGAGAUCAAUGAGGCCGUUUAAAUAAAUGAAGCAUUCAGGUGUAGAAGAAAGUAAGGGAAGAGAGACGGCAUUCAAAUCAAAAAACUAAAAUUCAAGCCUCCUUGAGCCCCUAGGAAUGGAUAAAUCCAUUAAGCUGUAAAGAAAUGAGAGCUGGAAAGAGUCUGUCAGAUCCAUUCUAAAAUUUAUUACAAAAUAAAACUUUGUUAGGGGCCAGAAAGCAAAGUGAAAGAAACAGCAGUGUAGCAGGAGGGUACAGCUCUCCUAGCAUGGCAUUUGGUACAUAUGUGGUGCAUCUGCAGGUGUCUCUGUUGGGAAGUUCGACACACCAGUAAUUCCUUCUUCCAAAGUAAAAAUGGAUGGUUUACUUCUAAUUUACUGCAGUGUCUUUGGAGGGGGCUGGUUUUUGUGCCAGCCCCUCAAGAAAAAAAAAAAAAAGAAAUAGUUCAAAUAUACACCAACAGGAAUUAACAAGAUUUUGGCUGUCUCUAUAAUGUAUGAAUGUGUGUGUGUGUGUGUAUAUAUAUAAUGUGCAUUUCAUUUUUCCCUGUAAUUCCAACUAGAUAUAAUAGCACAUAAUACACACACUUGAACUAGAGCAGUAGAAGGAAUACAUAGCAGAAUUAUUCUGCUGGCUGUUUUUUGGAAAUGUUUUAGCCAUCUCUAUGAUGCCAGUGUGACUGUGUUCCUGUGGGAACAAGCUGCCUCAAAGCAAGAGGCUUCUAUAGCAAGAGUAGGUGAAUCCUGGCUAAAAACUUGGGGUUUAGCACAAAACUAAAUAUUCUGUAAAUAUCAAGUAUUCUGCAAUAUUCUGAUUAAAUUCACUCAUUUUCAAAACUAAUUGAAAGAGUUCUUUUCUACUCUGCCAAUGAGGCAAGAUGCAAUCAGCCACAUUCAAACCAUCAUUAGGACUAACUAGUGGAUCCUCAGUAGUAAAAGCUUGUUUGCACCUUCCUUGCAACCAUAGUGUUACUUCCCAGAGCUGCACCCUAAUGAUGAUACCCCUUUUGAAAAGCACCACACUGCAGAAGUAAUCCCAUAGGCUUUAAUGGGACUACUGCUGGAUUAAAGUACUAUUCUUUGUGAGGGAGCAUAUUAGAAUCUGGCUUUAAGUUAACGUUUGCCUUAAAUGCAUCUCUCCUCUGAAAAACAAGGUCUUGUGUUGUAUAUUGUGAGAGUUUUAUGUUGACUUGCAGCAGGAGCAACGCUUAAUAGAAGAAAACCCUGGAACUUCAAAGCUCUCAGAAUAUGCCUUGAAAAGAAGGGAUUCUGGGGAAGAAAAGCAUCGAUCUGACCAGUCAGUCAGAGACCAGAGCAAUUGCUGCAGAUAGCUGAAUACUUCUUUGAUUCAAUAUUCUGAGUGUUCAUUCCCUGAACUGAAGCUGAUCAAAUGUAUCUGUGCUUUAUUUUUAACUCAAAGCUGUUAAAAUUGCCAACAAAGUAGCUGUUAUGCCCAUAAGUGAUACGAAGGAGACAGAAUUUAACCCGCAGUUCUUUGCCAGCAGGUAAUGAAUGAAUGGACUGGAAGUUACGGGGAGGCUGGGACUCGAAUUUCAAGGCAAGAUUGUAAGUUGGGGAAAAUAGGCAGUUAAAUGGAGUCAGAUGUGGUGUACAUCAAGGGUACAGAUGUAAAUGAAACCUCAAGUGUGGUCCCAUCUGGUACUAUGAGCCCAGAAAUACAGGUUCUCUAGUGGAAAGAAAUGAAACCAGGUUUUCAGAGUUGUAUCUUCCAGUCCUAGUCUUAUCACUUCUGUAACCACUGCUGAAAUGUCUUCUCUAGCUCUAUUCUCAGCACUGGUUCAUCUAUAUCUUGUCUCUGCUGGUAUAGUCCUAGCUUCUGUCACUGAUGCUCUAACAUCAGUACAACUCCCUUUGCACCUCGCUUGAGGUGCAGAGGGUGGCCAGUGUGAGACAUCCACGUGCUAAAGGCAUAGGGACCAUUUGUGCGUGCCAUUUCCCCUGUCAUCCUUAGGGCAGAUGAUGGUGAGAUGGCUCUAAGAAGAAAUCCUAAAGGUGCCUAUGACACCUUUCGAUUUAAGGCACCAGUAAAAACCUCCAAGAAAAGGUCUUGAUGGUGAUAUGGUAGGAUUGACACUUGGUGUUGAGAAACUUGAAGCACAUUUCAGGAGAGAUCUGCCUGCACUGAUUUAUGCGAUAUUGGUGUUAGGGACAACCUCAGCAGCUCCUAAGUGGCCACGAGGUCCCACCUCCAUGUACAGUUUCACCUGAGUGAUUGUUUAUUUUUGGGGGUAGAAAACAUGUUUGUGAGAAAAAGAAGUGAAGAAGAACAGGCUGUAAACAAAGGUUUAAAAAUUGCAGAACUUCAAUUAGUGUUGAAAUUCCUCUUUCUAAUUUCAAGAAAUUCCCUGGUUUAAAUUUUGUGCUGCUCUAAACAGCAAUGACAUGUCACCUCUUCCUAUUUUUGUUCUUAAGGUACAGGAAUUUUAAACUGACACCUAAUCAGCAUUUCAGUGGACCGAAUGUAAUAUCUGAUAAUAUAUUAUGAAGCAUACUGUGCCCUUGGAAACAAUCGUUGGCAGUUUCUGUCUUUAGAAAAACCCUUACAGCUCACAGGAGAACCACGUAGUGAAAACAUGGGUGUGUUAAUCCUUUGUAGGCUCAAUAAGAUGUGAAUUUGUUUGAAUAGCCAUCUGCUGGUCUUGAGCCUUUAGUAUUUGCUUGCCAACCAGAACAAGAUAGGUGAGGGAUAUGUUGCUUUUAUUGCUCUGUACGAAGCAUACUUGGACUACAGAGAAAAGCAGGAGGAUGAUGGCCCAUAAAGAUAAGAAGAUGACAAAUUCAGGUAGGGUCAUUUGUCCCAGAACUUCAAAUGCUCAAAUUCAGUAUGCAGUUGCUUCCAACGUGGGUAUUUUUAAAGGGCCUCGAGCCAAGUAACUUUAGGCCAAAUGUGUGGCUAUUUAAGGAAAUACAUUACAGAGCAUGUAAGAGUGACUCCCAUGAAACAUUUUAAUUGUGCCUGAAUCUGUGCAGUUUUGCCCCAAUUCAGAGCCAGAGGACAGCACACAGUGAGGCAGGACACUGUAAUGCUCAGUGCCAAGCAGACUGAGGGCCAAAGCUCUGAAAGGGGCAGAUCACGCACAGGGAGGAUCUUUCUUUUCCCUCUUGCCUUUGAAUAUUCGCUUGCAAGUGUUACAAAAUACAAAUGCAAUAGCCUUGUGUGGGUGAAACCUAGAAAGAGCAACUCCGUACAUGAAAUGUGCCAGCCCUGUUCACCAUGCGCAGGAUAAACCCUGUUUCAUGCCAGGGUACUCCACUUUGAAUAGGGAAUUUCCUCUCCCCAAAUGACAGGGGCAUGGGUCAGCGUUGCCCUGAGGGCAAGUGUUUUUAGAGGGGAGGAAGUGCGCAGGUGGAAGAGAAAUGGUUUGCAAGAGAAGCAGGACUGAGUUUUCCUGUGAAUGUGCCAGGAUGGUGCUAUGCCAAACGACCUCAGCAUGGGGUUUGCUGGUUUUCCACCCGCCAUGUGGACAAAGAGCCUUUCCCGUGGACAUGGAUGUGGUCCCUGACCUGGGCAGUGCUCCCUGCUCAUCCCUCUGCCCUCCUGCAGCAUCUCCUCUGGAAGCAGGGCAGCCCUGAGUGCGCAGCCGAUGAUUUCAGCAGGCUGUUUGAAGUCCAUCAAAGUGAUCUUUAACAUGGUGUGACCAACUUAGAGGCUUUUUUUCUUUUGCAUUAGUGGCACAAGGAAGAAAGCACAUCGGGUGCAGGACAUGGCAAUGCUUUGUCUUGUGCUGGAGCACGGGUACUUCAGCGGGACAGACUGCCAGAGGAACCUAAUCUCUGCCUUCACUCUUCCUGACCAGGGCUAAUGGAGCUGUUUUUCCAGUGAAUUUCCAGCUACGCUAUUAAAAUAAACUUCUCCCUGAAAGCUUCUGCCUUGAAGCAGCCA